CCUACGGGAGGCAGCAGUGAGGAAUAUUGGUCAAUGGACGAGAGUCUGAACCAGCCAAGUAGCGUGAAGGAUGACUGCCCUAUGGGUUGUAAACUUCUUUUAUAUGGGAAUAAAACGUUCCACGUGUGGGAUUUUGUAUGUACCAUAUGAAUAAGGAUCGGCUAACUCCGUGCCAGCAGCCGCGGUAAUACGGAGGAUCCGAGCGUUAUCCGGAUUUAUUGGGUUUAAAGGGAGCGUAGGUGGAAUGUUAAGUCAGUUGUGAAAGUUUGCGGCUCAACCGUAAAAUUGCAGUUGAAACUGGCAGUCUUGAGUACAGUAGAGGUGGGCGGAAUUCGUGGUGUAGCGGUGAAAUGCUUAGAUAUCACGAAGAACUCCGAUUGCGAAGGCAGUUCACUGGACUGCAACUGACACUGAGGCUCGAAAGUGUGGGUAUCAAACAGGAUUAGAUACCCGUGUAGUC
rnacentral:rRNA from 1 species